GAUUCCAGGCCCUGGUGUGGAUCGUCCGAGUCAGCCCCGCCCUCGCCCCGUUGCUGUGUCACGUGCACAUCCUGGGGCCUGGGCCCUCGGCGUGAGGCACGUGCAUUCCGACGGUGGCGUGGAGCAGCCCGCCCGAGGGGCAUGGUCCCGGCCCAGUGGCCCGCACGGCUCAGCCCGCUGUGGGCAGCCCCGCACGGCACAGGGUUCCUCCCCCCUUUUGGGCCGGCAGUGGAUUUGGCCCUCCUGGAAGAGCAGAAAGUGCAGCUUUUGCAAGGGCCUGGGGGAAAUUGAGGGCUCGGCUACAGGGGUGUAGUCACACCACCAUAGCUAUAGUGGUAUCCCUGCCCACGUGGAUGUACCCCGAAAUGUGUCUGUCCGGGGGGAGUUGCACGGCAUAACUUGGGGGGGUACCAGCACGCUGGUGAAUUUCCCCAUGUAGCCACACUUUUAGUCAUUAUGGUUAAGGGCUAACUAGAAAUACCAUGUUAGGAUGACCAGAUAUCCUGAUUUUAUAGGGACAGUCUCGAUGUUUGGGUCUUUUUCUUAUAUAGGUUCCUAUUACCCACCACCCCAAUCCUGAUUUUUUCACACUGGCUGUCUGGUCACCCUACCAUGGAUAGAUGAGUGACCAGGCAGAUAAGUGGGAUAGAAAAGAUGGAUAAGGACAGAUAUGAUGGAUUAAAUAGAUAAAUCCACACCAGUGUUAAUUAAUUUGAUCACUUGCUUUUCAUUACAUCCCAUCUCUCAUAAUUUGUAUGUAGUUCUCUAUAUAGGUUCAACGUGGCCCCUCCUUUUUCCUGCUAUACAAGAUAGUUCAUUCUCUCCAUUGUAUCAGUGCAAAUAAGAGUAAAUUUAUCAAUACAAUCCUUUUUAUGUAAACCAGACAAUGUGCUAUUUUUUUCUUGGAUGAACGCAUGUGUGAUGAAAUGCACCCCUGUAUUCAUACCCUGCACACUAAUCUUUGUACAAAAUAUGCCUUGUAAAGUAUCAUUUGAAAACCGAUAACUUGCUGGUCAAUAAUAUGGCAAAAUGUAUGUAACAACAUUAUAUGUAAAAUUAUGAACAUAAGAUGAAAUUGCAACUGAAGUGUGUUUACCAGACAAGUCUGGGAAGUAGGUAAACCUGUUUCUCAAAGACAAAGGACAAGUUUGUCUAGUCAGGUGUCAUCAAAGCUUAUGGGCAGUCACCUAUCAAGUGGCCAUUCUUUGGCAUUGAAGGGGGGUAAGGCAAGAGACAAACAGAUCUGCAGCUUAGCAAACAGAGGUGAACAGCAACAGCAUAACAUCUCUUCUCCCACCAGACUCCAUAUCUCCUUAUUCUCAGCUGAAAAGAAUUCUAUCUAGGGGGUCACUCUCAGGAAAAUGCAUUUCAAAGGGUGACUGAACUAUAAAAGUGAGGGGCAAAAAAACCCCAAGUUAUCUCUCCCUUUCCAUUUCUCUUUUUGCAACUAAGACGACAAAAGAAACAGCCGUUGGACCUUGGGAGUAGAUCCAGACCUAAAAUUUGGUCAUGAAUGCUACUGAAAACCUUGUGAGCACAUUAAUCCACCCCCUUCAGAUGGCUGCAAUCCUUUGCUCCAGUACAUCACUGAAUAGCUCCUCAAGAACUUCCCUGGGUGUUUAGCCUGACCUACCGAGAAGGAAGAGACAGACUUGUGGAUUGUGAAUGUUGGGAAUAUUAAGCACCAGCUAUGAAAAGAUUUAAGCGUUCUCAAUGAAACCUCACUCCCCUCCUCCAAAUCCCUCCUUAAGACUCACUUCUCUUGACUAGCUUUCCAAUGUUAAUCUCAAUUCCACCACCUCUACCCUCUGACUGACUUCCUCAAACUAACAUUAUAUUUUAAACUUUAAAAA